UACGAAGGGGGCUAGCGUUGCUCGGAAUCACUGGGCGUAAAGGGUGCGUAGGCGGGUCUUUAAGUCAGGGGUGAAGUCCUGGAGCUCAACUCCAGAACUGCCUUUGAUACUGAAGAUCUUGAGUUCGGGAGAGGUGAGUGGAACUGCGAGUGUAGAGGUGAAAUUCGUAGAUAUUCGCAAGAACACCAGUGGCGAAGGCGGCUCACUGGCCCGAUACUGACGCUGAGGAGCGAAAGUGUGGGGAGCGAACAGG
rnacentral:rRNA from 1 species